rnacentral:rRNA from 1 species
UUUAACUGAGCGUUCAGUUACUUGACGUAGACCCGAAACCGGGCGACCUACCCAUGAGCAGGAUGAAGCGAAAGUAAAAUUUCGUGGAGGUCCGAACCCACGAGCGUUGAAAAGCUCGGGGAUGACUUGUGGGUAGCGGUGAAAUUCCAAUCGAGCCCGGAGAUAGCUGGUUCUCCCCGAAAUAGCUUUAGGGCUAGCCUCAAGGUGAGAGAUACGGAGGUAGAGCACUGAAUGUCCUAGGGGGUAUUGCACCUACCGAAGACUAUCAAACUCCGAAUGCCGUCAUCUUAUACUUGGGAGUCAGACUGUGGGUGAUAAGAUUCAUAGUCGAAAGGGCAACAGCCCAGAUCGUCAGCUAAGGUCCCUAAAUGUAAGUUAAGUGGUAAAGGAUGUGGGAUUGCACAGACAACCAGGAUGUUGGCUUAGAAGCAGCCACUCAUUCAAAGAGUGCGUAAUAGCUCACUGGUCGAGUGAUCCUGCGCCGAAGAUUUCCGGGGCUAAAACUUACUACCGAAGCUACGGCAUCAGUAAUGAUGGGUAGGGGAGCUUCCCAUACGGGUUGAAGCAUGACCGUAAGGACAUGUGGACAGUAUGGGAGUGAGAAUGUUGGCAUGAGUAGCGAGAUGUGGGUGAGAAUCCCACAGGCCGU